UUUAUGGAGAGUUUGAUCCUGGCUCAGGAUGAACGCUGGCGGCGUGCCUAAUACAUGCAAGUCGAGCGAACGGACGAGAAGCUUGCUUCUCUGAUGUUAGCGGCGGACGGGUGAGUAACACGUGGAUAACCUACCUAUAAGACUGGGAUAACUUCGGGAAACCGGAGCUAAUACCGGAUAAUAUUUUGAACCGCAUGGUUCAAAAGUGAAAGACGGUCUUACUGUCACUUAUAGAUGGAUCCGCGCUGCAUUAGCUAGUUGGUAAGGUAACGGCUUACCAAGGCAACGAUGCAUAGCCGACCUGAGAGGGUGAUCGGCCACACUGGAACUGAGACACGGUCCAGACUCCUACGGGAGGCAGCAGUAGGGAAUCUUCCGCAAUGGGCGAAAGCCUGACGGAGCAACGCCGCGUGAGUGAUGAAGG
rnacentral:rRNA from 1 species